UACGAAGGGGGCUAGCGUUGCUCGGAAUCACUGGGCGUAAAGGUGCGUAGGCGGGUCUUUAAGUCAGGGGUGAAAUCCUGGAGCUCAACUCCAGAACUGCCUUUGAUACUGAAGAUCUUGAGUUCGGGAGAGGUGAGUGGAACUGCGAGUGUAGAGGUGAAAUUCGUAGAUAUUCGCAAGAACACCAGUGGCGAAGGCGGCUCACUGGCCCGGUACUGACGCUGAGGUGCGAAAGCGUGGGAGCAAACAGG
rnacentral:rRNA from 1 species